rnacentral:rRNA from 1 species
UACGAAGGGUGCAAGCGUUACUCGGAAUCACUGGGCGUAAAGCGUGCGUAGGCGGUUUCUUAAGUCUGUCGUGAAAGCCCUGGGCUCAACCUGGGAAUGGCGAUGGAUACUGGGAGGCUAGAGUGUGAUAGAGGAUGGUGGAAUUCCCGGUGUAGCGGUGAAAUGCGUAGAGAUCGGGAGGAACACCAGUGGCGAAGGGCGGCCAUCUGGAUCAACACUGACGCUGAGGCACGAAAGCGUGGGGAAGCAAAC